rnacentral:tRNA from 1 species
GGUUCGUUGGCCUAUUGGUUGGGCAGCAAACUGUUAAUUUGCCUUAGACUAGUUCAAUUCUAGUACGAACCG